rnacentral:rRNA from 1 species
GCGGCACGCCUAACACAUGCAAGUCGAACGAGUAGCAAUACUUAGUGGCAGACGGGUGAGUAACAUGUGGGUAUCUACCCUUUGGCCUGGAAUAACACGAGGAAACUUGUGCUAAUACCGGAUAAGUCUUUACGGAGAAAGCUUUAUGCACCAUUGGAUGAGCCUGCACUUGAUUAGUUUGUUGGUAGGGUAAUGGCCUACCAAGACUAUGAUCAAUAGCUGAUUUGAGAGGAUGAUCAGCCACAUUGGGACUGAGACACGGCCCAAACUCCUACGGGAGGCAGCAGUGGGGAAUCUUGCACAAUGGAGGAAACUCUGAUGCAGCGAUGCCGCGUGAGUGAAGAAGGCCCUUGGGUUGUAAAGCUCUUUCGUCGGGGAAGAAAAUGACUGUACCCGAAUAAGAAGGUCCGG